CACGUAGGGUGCGAGCGUUGUCCGGAAUUAUUGGGCGUAAAGAGCUCGUAGGCGGUGUGUCACGUCGGCCGUGAAAACCUGCAGCUUAACUGUGGGCGUGCGGUCGAUACGGGCAUCACUGGAGUUCGGCAGGGGAGACUGGAAUUCCUGGUGUAGCGGUGAAAUGCGCAGAUAUCAGGAGGAACACCGGUGGCGAAGGCAGGUCUCUGGGCCGAUACUGACGCUGAGGAGCGAAAGCGUGGGGAGCGAACAGG
rnacentral:rRNA from 1 species